UGUGGGGGGUGGAGGUGGGGGUACAUUAUUUGCUAUCCCCCUCCCUUCUUACCUUUUGUAGGGAGGGGGGAUCGUGCUGCUGCUUCCUUCCCUGGUGGUCCAGUGGAGGAGGGGAUCCUUGCUGCUGUGAUCCCUGGUGGUCCAGUGGAGAGUGAACUCUAGCCCCUGUGGGGCUAGAGUUCACUCUCGCGAGAUUUGAGCGUUGCCGUGGC